rnacentral:rRNA from 1 species
AUGGACAACACGACGACCUUUUUCGCUUGGUGGGCUCUCGCGGCCGACACCUCGCCGAGCGGUCUGUGCAAAGGGCUGAACUCCAUCGUCGCUCUGAUCGCUUGGGCCAUCUGGAAGCACCGCAACACCGUCAUCUUCGAUGGCCUUCAACCCUCCACCGACGAUCUCGUGCUUUCCAUCCAAGAUGGCGCUCGCCUCUAG